rnacentral:rRNA from 1 species
AUUGAACGCUGGCGGAAUGCUUUACACAUGCAAGUCGAACGGCAGCACGGGGGCAACCCUGGUGGCGAGUGGCGAACGGGUGAGUAAUACAUCGGAACGUGCCCAAUCGUGGGGGAUAACGUAGCGAAAGCUACGCUAAUACCGCAUACGAUCUACGGAUGAAAGCGGGGAUCGCAAGACCUCGCGCGAAUGGAGCGGCCGAUGGCAGAUUAGGUAGUUGGUGGGUAAAGGCUCACCAAGCCGACGAUCUGUAGCUGGUCUGAGAGGACGACCAGCCACACUGGGACUGAGACACGGCCCAGACUCCUACGGAGGCAGCAUGGGAAUUUUGGACAAUGGGCGCAAGUCUGAUCCAGCCAUUCCGCGUGCAGGAUG